UCGCAAUUUAACAUCGCAAAGGCCUUUAGAUUACACUGACAAAAUUUGGUGUUGAUCUGAAUAAAUCUCUAGGAGGAGUUUGUUAAAGUACAACCCCUGAAAAUGGCAAAAACGACACAAAUUUCGCAGAGAAAAUUCAAAAUAACUGACUUCCUGUUGGGAUUCGAAUUUCGUACCAAGAGACUUUUUUGUAGGUAUUGGUGUGUUACAUGUGUGUACCGAUUUUUGUACAUGUACGUGAAACGUAGCUCGAGGUGCACUCCGUUGAAAAUGUAUAGGUGGCGCUAUCGAGGCAUUUUGCCACACCCGAUGGAAUAUUGGCCUUCAGAUUUGUUCAGGCCAGGACUCUUAUCGAACAUGUGAAGUUUGGGCAAGAUCGGACAUUUUAUGCCUGAGUUACAAUAAC
ensembl:lncRNA